GUGGGGAAUAUUGCACAAUGGGGGAAACCCUGAUGCAGCGACGCCGCGUGAGUGAGGAAGUAUUUCGGUAUGUAAAGCUCUAUCAGCAGGGAAGAAAAUGACGGUACCUGACUAAGAAGCCCCGGCUAACUACGUGCCAGCAGCCGCGGUAAUACGUAGGGGGCAAGCGUUAUCCGGAUUUACUGGGUGUAAAGGGAGCGUAGACGGAAUAGCAAGUCUGAUGUGAAAACCCGGGGCUCAACUCCGGGAGUGCAUUGGAAACUGUUGAUCUAGAGUGUCGGAGAGGCAAGCGGAAUUCCUAGUGUAGCGGUGAAAUGCGUAGAUAUUAGGAGGAACACCAGUGGCGAAGGCGGCUUGCUGGACGAUGACUGACGUUGAGGCUCGAAAGCGUGGGGAGCAAACAGG
rnacentral:rRNA from 1 species